ensembl:lncRNA
CCUCCCCGGGCGCCCAGUGCGCAGGCGCCGGCCGUGAGGACCGACAGUGCGCCGGGCUCGAGCUGGUCGGAGCGGCGGCAGCUGCGAGGACCCGCGGGCUGACUGACUGAUGGGCGGACAGGCCAUGUCGUCCUGCACCUGCUGAACUGUAGCGCCCAAGGAUGUCUGCGUUGAGGAAGUGGUCUAGAGCGAACCCACAGCAUCUCUGCGAGGUUGUUCUCAGAAGUUAUUCUAAGAAGGUAGGAGUGACAGCUAUUCUCUGGUUUCCAGCCAUCCUGUGCCUACCCAGCCCCUGUGCCCUUCCCCUCCCCUCUCAGGGACGUGGAUGCUGGUCUGGUUACUACCCAGCUCCCCCACCCCCAACUCCCACUGCAGACCUUCCAGCCGCUUUGCUUUCCCUUUGCUACUGAUCUGUUCUUCCUGACAACACUUCUGACACCAAAUGUGUAGGUUUUCUCACCAACCAAGAACUCUCCUGACACUAGCUGGGGGUCCAGAGGUUUAACUCAGUUCUGACACCAGCUCCCAGGGUUACCACAGACGCGCAGCAGCAAAUCCCAGGUUGUUGCCUGUACUUUUGACCAAAUGGCUGCAAAUUGAGGUUCCCAUGACCCCCUUCUUGGGUUUGCUAUUUUGCUAGGACCCACAGAACACCAGAAGGCACUUUACUUAACGUGUUUACCUGUUAAUUAUAAAGGAUGCCACUCAGGAACAGCCAGGUGGACGGGAGAGAGACGCCCAGAACGUGGUGGGGGUGGGGAGCUGCCCUGGUCUCUGGGUUCACCAUCUCCCGGUCUCCCCGAUUGCACCUACUCUGAGCCCUUUCAUUCAGCUUUUAUGGAGGUUCCAUUACAUAAGCAUGAUUGAUUAAAUCCUUGGCCACCGUGAUUAAACUCAACCCCACCCCUCCCUCCACGCAGGUCGGGGUGGGGCUGAAAGUUCCAACCUGUAAUCAGGUGGUUGGUUCCCUUGACAACCAACCCCCAGCCUCCUGAGUCACCUCAUUAGCAUAACUCAGGUGGGUUGAAAGGGGCUGGAGAAUAACAAGAUUCUCCUUUUCCUCUGUGACUCAGGAAAUCCAAGGGCUAGAAGCGCUUCUGCCAGUAGCUGGGAUGAAGACCAGUGAUACAUUUCUUAUUAUGUAACAAUAUCAUGUCCCAAUUCUAAGGACUGGAAGGGCUCUCCUCUGUACCAGGUGGAAAUGAUUGAUGAUAUCAACAAAGUACACCAAGAUCAAUUCACUUGUGUUAGAAGUUUGUGUAAGAGGAAAUAGCAUUUGAGGAGAAAUUGCAGUUACCUUCAUGCAGUUGUGUCAUGAUGUGUGAUUUAAAAAAAUAUUGACAUAUAUUAAUUUCAGGUGUACAACAUAAUGAUUUGAUAAUUGUAUAUAUUGUGAAAUGAUCAUGAUGAGUCUAGUUACCAUCUGCCACCAAUGUAGUUACCCUUUUUUUUUUCCUCGAGAUGAGAAUUUUAAUAUCCACUCUCUCAGCAGCUUCCAAAUAUAUAACCACAGUCACCAUGCUGUGUCUUACCUCCCAGGACUUAUUUAUUUUGUAACUGGAAAUUUGUACCUUUUGAUCCUGUGCAUGCAUUUGGCUUGUUUGUGAUUUAUGAUCUUUAAAGCACUUUCAGCCCAGGUAUGAAAAUAUGUGUAUUUAACCAUUUUUAAACUUUGUUAUUGAUUGGUCUUUAUUUUUACGUUGUCGCACAUCUGUUAAUGUUUCUACUACCAUUUUCUUUAACACUUCAUAUUUGUUAUUAAUAAGUACUAAAGCUUGGCUCAGUACACUUAAUAGGGUCAAAUUUAUAAAUGCAUUAAAUUAAUUGAAUAUUAAAAUUUUGUGUUAAAAUUUUUUGCUUAUAUUUUUCCAUCUUUAAAUGCCAUUUGCAUUUUUCUUUUUCUUUCUUGAGCAUUAUUAGUAAUGAGGUUUGAUUCCUAAUGAUACUUACAGAAGAGCAAAAAAAAAAUCAAAGAAAAUGUUGAUAUUACCUCAGGGUUUUUUUUUUUUUUUUGUCUUAAAUAGUUAAAAUGCGAACAAUGAAUGAAGAUAUGAAAACAUUUGACACUCACUGCAACUGUGAUUAAGUGCUGUAAUUAAUUUUCUAGUGUUCACAGCCCUCUUAAAAAUGAAGUGCCAUUAAAGUACCACAUUAAUCCUGUGAGUGGUGGAGGGUGGUGGUUCAGGACUCUAACCUGUAAUGACGCGAGGAGGAAGGAAAUUCAUUGUGACAGUUUUGGUUGAACAUUUAAGUGGCAUGUUAAGGAAUUAAGUUACUUCUUAGAGUCAAACAAAUGCACAGAAUCUGUCUAAAGGCCCAGGUGAUUGUUGCUAUGGGAACUACAGCCUCACUUCCUGAAAUUCGUUUGUUAGAAUUUUCUGCAGCAACAAAUAUUUAACCUAAUUUUUGUGCUAUAAUUUUUGUUUCUUUUGUUAAGAAGGAAAAGUUGACUGCAUUUAGAGAUAAUAACACUAUCAUUCAAAAGCUAGGGGGCUGGUUUCUGCUCACUGAAAUCCCACAAUUACCUUGUGAUAACUGGUGGUAUCUUGAUAGACUUCUAGUGUGAAUUCUUCCUUCAAACUAUGCAGGGCUUCAGACUGCCUCUGGAAUUGAUGACAAAUAAUAAAUACUCUGUCUUACUAGACUACCA